rnacentral:rRNA from 1 species
AUUGAACGCUGGCGGCAGGCCUAACACAUGCAAGUCGAACGGUAACAGGAAGCAGCUUGCUGCUUCGCUGACGAGUGGCGGACGGGUGAGUAAUGUCUGGGAAACUGCCUGAUGGAGGGGGAUAACUACUGGAAACGGUAGCUAAUACCGCAUAACGUCGCAGGACCAAAGAGGGGGACCUUAGGGCCUCUUGCCAUCGGAUGUGCCCAGAUGGGAUUAGCUAGUAGGUGGGGUAACGGCUCACCUAGGCGACGAUCCCUAGCUGGUCUGAGAGGAUGACCAGCCACACUGGAACUGAGACACGGUCCAGACUCCUACGGGAGGCAGCAGUGGGGAAUAUUGCACAAUGGGCGCAAGCCUGAUGCAGCCAUGCCGCGUGUAUGAAGAAGGCCUUCGGGUUGUAAAGUACUUUCAGCGGGGAGGAAGGGAGUAAAGUUAAUACCUUUGCUCAUUGACGUUACCCGCAGAAGAAGCACCGGCUAACUCCGUG